GACGAACGCUGGCGGCGUGCUUAACACAUGCAAGUCGAACGGAAAGGCCCUGCUUUUGUGGGGUGCUCGAGUGGCGAACGGGUGUGUAACACGUGAGUAACCUGCCCUUGACUUUGGGAUAACUUCAGGAAACUGGGGCUAAUACCGGAUAGGAGCUCCUGCUGCAUGGUGGGGGUUGGAAAGUUUCGGCGGUUGGGGAUGGACUCGCGGCUUAUCAGCUUGUUGGUGGGGUAGUGGCUUACCAAGGCUUUGACGGGUAGCCGGCCUGAGAGGGUAACCGGCCACAUUGGGACUGAGAUACGGCCCAAGCUCCUACGGGAGGAAGCAGUGGGAAAUAUGGAACAAUGGGGGGAGGCCUGAUGCAGCAACGCGGGGUGCGGAAUGACGGCCUUCGGGUUGUAAACCGCUUUCGCCUGUGACGAAGCGUGAGUGACGGUAAUGGGUAAAGAAGCACCGGCUAACUACGUG
rnacentral:rRNA from 1 species